GCUUACUUGGGCAGACCGUAUAUUAAAACUGUAACAAUACAGGGAAGAUUAGCAUGGCCGCUGAACAAGGAUGACACUGAAAUUCGUGAAGUGUUCCAUGUUAAA